AUACAUGCAGUCGAACGAUACUUUCCAGCUUGCUGGGGAGGAAAGUGGCGCACGGGUGCGUAACGCGUAUGCAACCUACCUUAAUCAGGGGGAUAGCCCGAAGAAAUUCGGAUUAACACCGCAUAAAAACACAGGAUAGCAUUAUCCAAUGUUCAAAUAUUUAUAGGAUUAAGAUGGGCAUGCGUGUCAUUAGCUAGUUGGCGGGGUAACGGCCCACCAAGGCGACGAUGACUAGGGGAUCUGAGAGGAUGACCCCCCACACUGGUACUGAGACACGGACCAGACUCCUACGGGAGGCAGCAGUAAGGAAUAUUGGUCAAUGGAGGCAACUCUGAACCAGCCAUGCCGCGUGCAGGAAGACAGCCCUCUGGGUCGUAAACUGCUUUUAUUCGGGAAUAAACCUUAUUACGUGUAAUAAGCUGAAUGUACCGAAGGAAUAAGGAUCGGCUAACUCCGUGCCAGCAGCCGCGGUAAUACGGAGGAUCCAAGCGUUAUCCGGAUUUAUUGGGUUUAAAGGGUGCGUAGGCGGCUUAUUAAGUCAGGGGUGAAAGACGGUGGCUCAACCAUCGCAGUGCCCUUGAUACUGAUGAGCUUGAAUACACUAGAGGUAGGCGGAAUGUGACAAGUAGCGGUGAAAUGCAUAGAUAUGUCACAGAACACCGAUUGCGAAGGCAGCUUACUAUGGUGUGAUUGACGCUGAGGCACGAAAGCGUGGGGAUCAAACAGGAUUAGAUACCCUGGUAGUCCACGCCCUAAACGAUGAAUACUCGCUGUUAGCGAUAUACAGUUAGCGGCUAAGCGAAAGCGUUAAGUAUUCCACCUGGGGAGUACGCCCGCAAGGGUGAAACUCAAGAAAAU
rnacentral:rRNA from 1 species